UACGUAGGGUGCGAGCGUUGUCCGGAAUUACUGGGCGUAAAGAGCUCGUAGGUGGUUUGUCGCGUUGUUCGUGAAAUCUCACGGCUUAACUGUGAGCGUGCGGGCGAUACGGGCAGACUUGAGUUCGGUAGGGGAGACUGGAAUUCCUGGUGUAGCGGUGAAAUGCGCAGAUAUCAGGAGGAACACCGGUGGCGAAGGCGGAUCUCUGGGCCUUACCUGACGCUGAGGAGCGAAAGCAUGGGGAGCAAACAGG
rnacentral:rRNA from 1 species